rnacentral:rRNA from 1 species
UACGGGGGGGUGCGAGCGUUGUCCGGAAUCACUGGGCGUAAAGGGCGCGUAGGUGGUCUUAUAAGGGUGUGGUGAAAGCCCGGGGCUCAACCCCGGGUCGGCCGUGCCGACUGUAAGACUAGAGUGCUGUAGGGGCAGGCGGAAUUCCGGGUGUAGCGGUGGAAUGCGUAGAUAUCAAGGCAGGAACACCGUGGCGGCAAAGGCGGACCUUCUGGGACCU